rnacentral:lncRNA from 1 species
CUGGUUACCUGAGCCAGGUCUGGGGCCAGGCAGCAUGCAUUCUAGUCCUGCCUGGGACACUCACUGGCCUCAAGAUCUUGGGCAAAACAGCUGACUGCUUUGCACCUCAGUUUCCUCAUCUGUAAGGUCCAGGACUACCCACUUCCCUUGGAAUGGUGUUGCCAUCACUGUUCUGGCACCGGAGAAAGGAUUCUACAUCGUUAGGAGAAAAGAAAAAGGAGAAUUUGGGCUUGCACUGAGAGGAUUACCUUUGGUGGUCUGGAAGUGGUGGGGUUGCAGCAUUGAAGGCACCAUCUUGGAAGCAGAGACUAGACCCUCACCAAGCAAUUAACAUGCUGGUGCAUUGAUCUUGGACUUUCCAGCCUCCAGAACUGCUGCACAGGGAGCAUGGCUGGGAGGCCUCAG